rnacentral:rRNA from 1 species
GACGAACGCUGGCGGCGUGCUUAACACAUGCAAGUCGAGCGGUAAGGCCCUUUCGGGGGUACACGAGCGGCGAACGGGUGAGUAACACGUGGGUGACCUGCCCUCAGCUCUGGGAUAAGCCUGGGAAACCGGGUCUAAUACUGGAUAUGACUCCAUGACGCAUGUUGUGGGGUGGAAAGCCUUGUGCGGCUGAGGAUGGGCCCGCGGCCUAUCAGCUUGUUGGUGGGGUGANGGGCCUACCAAGGCGACGACGGGUAGCCGGCCUGAGAGGGCGGACGGCCACACUGGGACUGAGACACGGCCCAAACUCCUACGGGAGGCAGCAGUGGGGAAUUGUUCACAAUGGGCGCAAGCCUGAUGACGCAACGCCGCGUGGGGAUGAAGGUCUUCGGAUCGUAACCCCUGUCGAAUGGGACGAAAGACUCGCGAGUUAAUACUUCGCGGAGUGACGGUACCGUUAAGGAA